rnacentral:rRNA from 1 species
UCCAGACUCCUACGGGAGGCAGCAGUGGGGAAUAUUGCACAAUGGGGGAAACCCUGAUGCAGCGACGCCGCGUGAGCGAUGAAGUAUUUCGGUAUGUAAAGCUCUAUCAGCAGGGAAGAAAAUGACGGUACCUGACUAAGAAGCCCCGGCUAACUACGUGCCAGCAGCCGCGGUAAUACGUAGGGGGCAAGCGUUAUCCGGAUUUACUGGGUGUAAAGGGAGCGUAGACGGUCCUGCAAGCCAGAUGUGAAAGCCCGGGGCUCAACCCCGGGACUGCUCUUGGAACUGCGUGGCUAGAGUGCAGGAGGGGCAGGCGGAAUUCCUGGUGUAGCGGUGAAAUGCGUAGAUAUCAGGAGGAACACCGGUGGCGAAGGCGGCCUGCUGGACUGCAACUGACGUUGAGGCCCGAAAGCGUGGGGAGCAAACAGGAUUAGAUACCCGUGUA